AUUGAACGCUGGCGGCAGGCCUAACACAUGCAAGUCGAGCGAGCGGCGGACGGGUGAGUAAUGUAUGGGGAUCUGCCCGAUAGAGGGGGAUAACUACUGGAAACGGUGGCUAAUACCGCAUAACAUCAGAUGAACCCAGAUGGGAUUAGCUUGUAGGUGAGGUAACGGCUCACCUAGUCGACGAUCCCUAGCUGGUGUGGGAGGAUGAUCAGCCACACUGGGACUGAGACACGGCCCAGACCCCUCUGUGAGGUAGCAGUGGGGAAUAUUGCACAAUGGGCGGAAGCCUGGUGCAGCCCUGCCGCGUGUAGGAAGAGGGCCUGCGGGUUGUAAAGUACUUUCAGUCGGGAGGCGUUACCGACAGAAGAAGCACCGGCUAACUCCGUGCCAGCAGCCGCGGUAAUAC
rnacentral:rRNA from 1 species